rnacentral:rRNA from 1 species
UAGGGAAUCUUCCGCAAUGGGCGAAAGCUUGACGGAGCAACGCCGCGUGAGUGAUGAAGGUCUUCGGACCGUAAAACUCUGUUCUUAGGGAAGAACAAAUGUGUAAGUAACUAUGCACGUCUUGACGGUACCUAAUCAGAAAGCCACGGCUAACUACGUGCCAGCAGCCGCGGCAAUACGUAGGUGGCAAGCGUUAUCCGGCUUUAUUGGGCGUAAAGCGCGCGUAGGCGGUUUUUUAAGUCUGAUGUGAAAGCCAACGGCUAAACCGUGGAGAGUAGUGAAAAGCUGGAAAACUUGAGUGGAGAAGAGUAAAGUGGAAUUCCAUGUGUAGCGGGGAAAUGCGAAGAGAUAUGGAGGAACACCAGUGGCGAAGGCGACUUUCUGGUCUGUAACUGACGCUGAUGUGCGAAAGCGUGGGGAUCAAACAGG